GGAGAGAUGGCCGAGUGGUUGAAGGCGCCUGACUCGAAAUCAGGUUUACGGGUGACCGUAACGGGGGUUCGAAUCCCUCUCUCUCCGCCA
rnacentral:tRNA from 1 species